UGCGCUGCCUGGCAACAGCGCACUUGUUUACAUUUUUGUGCGUUCGCGUGCUUUCGCCCGGUGCGUGGUUUUCGAUAUUCUAUGUUCAAUGCUUACUCUAUAUUAUAACAUUUUCCAAGUUUAAAUCUUCAACCCACAAUGGCGGAUCCGUACGAUCGUGGUUACUACAAAAAGCGGCCUUACGCUCCCAAGUUCCAGGAACGUGAGCAGGAGCCGGACUCGAGUCAGCAACAGAUCAAACCGGUGUUCAUACUCGCCAAACACCCGGACCGGGGCUCUUCCUCCCAGACUCAGUCACAGGCUGGUGGAGAUGCAGCUUCUGGAGAAAGUUCAAAGCCUACCGUGCUGCUUAGCAAGGCAUCAUCAAGGGCUGAAUCUCCAGCAUCUUCGUCAAGCACACCCAAAGAUGAUGCUCAACCAUCUGCUUCUGUGAGCACCAACACCUCUGUCAAGCAGCCGCCCCCAGAGAGCUUGAGUGACCGACUAGCAGCACCUCCUGACAUGGCUGCCCCCGUCAAGUUUAUUGAUGAUUCCUUACAGUGGUGCGAUAAUGCACUUGAGUACCUUGUGGACCAGCCAGACUUCUAUGUGGUCGGAAUCGUUGGCAUGCAAGGCGCUGGGAAGUCAACUGUUAUGUCAAUACUCGCCGGGCAGUAUGGUCAAGCAGGCAUGAGGCAGCUGUUUCGUCCGCAGAGCCGAGAAUUGCGGGAACUUGGCCAACACUGCACAACAGGUGUGGACAUUUAUGCCACACCAGAGAGGAUGAUCCUGCUUGAUACUCAGCCUGUCAUCAGUGCCUCGGUGAUGGACCACAUGAUCCAGUUUGAGAAGAAGACUCCCGGUGGUGGGGACUUUCAUUCACUAGAAAAUGCUCAUGUCAUGCAGUCUCUGCAGAUGGCCUCUUUCCUGAUGGCUGUCUGCCACACAGUCAUUGUUGUGCAAGACUGGUUUGCUGAUCCGAAUUUCCUCAGAUUUGUGCUGACAGCUGAAAUGCUCAAGCCAACGACUUCGUCGCACGACCAAAGCCGCAGCAAUGGGGAUGACAUCGCUGAAAGCUUUCCUCACCUGGUGUUUGUGCAGAACAAGUGCACUCCCGGUGACUUUUCUCCCGAGAAUGUUGCUGCAAUGAGCCAGACAUUGGAUGCCAUCUUUACCAAGUCAAAGCUCAAGUACAAAGGACAGAUUAGCAUGGAUGCCACAGUGGCUCUUGGCAAAGACAAGCAGCACCAGGGUCCGAACCUGUUCCUGCUUCCCAAGAGGCUAUCUGAGCAAGCUGACUUUGUGCAGAAGAGAAACAGAGAAGUGAAGGUGACGCCGUGCCUGGAUACCAGGAGGGCGGCCGGCUAGAGCAACUGGCUUCAUUGCUGACCCUUCAAAUUGGCAGCAUGCCAAAGCAGCACAUCACGCAUACACCCCUCACUGAGAAAAACUGGUUCCAUUAUUCAGCACGGCUGUGGGAUGCUAUGCAAAAGUCCAUGGUGUUCAUGGAGUACAGUCGUCUGCUUCCAUGAGGCCUUGCGGUGUUUAUUUCGCAUAUGUGGGAAGGCAGACUUGAACGUCUGAAUUUGUACAGAUAUGUAAAUAAAGUUUGUGUCAGAAGCA